rnacentral:rRNA from 1 species
AUUGAACGCUGGCGGCAGACCUAACACAUGCAAGUCGAACGAGUGGCGGACGGGUGAGUAAUGUCUGGGAAACUGCCCGAUGGAGGGGGAUAACUACUGGAAACGGUAGCUAAUACCGCAUACCAUCGGAUGUUCCCAGAUGGGAUUAGCUAGUGGGGGGGGUAACGGCUCACCUAGGCGACGAUCCCUAGCUGGUCUGAGAGGAUGACCAGCCACACUGGAACGGAUACACGGUCAAGACUCCUACGGGAGGCAGCAGUGGGGAAUAUUGGACAAUGGGCGCAAGCCUGAUGCAGCAAUGCCGCGUGUAUGAAGAAGGCCUUCGGGUUGUAAAGUACUUUGAGCGAGGAGGCGUUACUCGCAGAAGAAGGACCGGCUAACUCCGUGCCAGCAGCCGCGGUAAUAC